rnacentral:rRNA from 1 species
GAUGAACGCUGGCGGCGUGCCUAAUACAUGCAAGUCGAGCGAACGGACGAGAAGCUUGCUUCUCUGAUGUUAGCGGCGGACGGGUGAGUAACACGUGGAUACCCUACCUAUAAGACUGGGAUCACUUCGGGAAACCGGAGCUAAUACCGGAUAAUAUUUUGAACCGCAUGGUUCAAAAGUGAAAGACGGUCUUGCUGUCACUUAUAGAUGGAUCCGCGCUGCAUUAGCUAGUUGGUAAGGUAACGGCUUACCAAGGCAACGAUGCAUAGCCGACCUGAGAGGGUGAUAGGCCACACUGGAACUGAGACACGGUCCAGACUCCUACGGGAGGCAGCAGUAGGGAAUCUUCCGCAAUGGGCGAAAGCCUGACGGAGCAACGCCGCGUGAGUGAUGAAGGUCUUCGGAUCGUAAAACUCUGUUAUUAGGGAAGAACAUAUGUGUAAGUAACUGUGCACAUCUUGACGGUACCUAAUCAGAAAGCCACGGCUAACUACGUG